ensembl:lncRNA
GGAAUCCAUUCAUCCAUCCCCAGCCAGGUAUGGGACUCCCCAUUGCCCAGCUUUGCAAUCUGCAGCGUGCUCAACUCCGGGCACACUGCGAACAACCUAUUUCAAAGGAUGUGAUAGAGUAAUAUACAGGACUAGACAGAGCAGAUGAUGUCCAACUGUCCGGCUUGCCUGGUCCAUACUGAGAGAAGAAGAAUCGUCUUGGGGUGCAUAUAAAAUGCGUCAUAUAUUUAAUAUAUUUACAGGUGAUGUCUCUCACUGACAUCUUCUACUUCUCCUUCUACUACUACGGAGAAGCUGCCAGCACUGGUAAGACAUGGAAUAUAAUAAAUAGCCACUGAAAAGACCUGCUACAGAUCCAUUUAAAAGAAAAGAAUGUGGCACGAGAAGUGACUCGGAGGGAAUGAGAGAAUUGUGAAUAUUAUUUUCCAGCAUGUCCUCCUAGAAACAAAGAUCAUCUGACAUGAUGGUCCUCUUGAUCAGAUUGAGACAGACUUCAAAAGGAAGUGAAUCAAGGAUGUUGCGUCUCGAAGGGAAUAAACAUAUUGCCUACUAGGGAACUACUUUUUCUCCCAACAUCCUAUUUAGGGCAUUUGGAUUCCCAAGUGAAUGCUGGUAUGUGAGCGAUGUAAACGUUUCUUUUUCACCAUCAAGUUGUAUAUCUCUAAGGUCUAUGUAAGUAACAUUACUAUUUUGGCCACCUUUUAUCUCUUUGCAGCAGCUCAUAAUUUUAAUGCCUUCGUUAAGUCUAGCUAUAGUCAUUUCAAAAUUUAGUUAGAGUCGGCAAUUAAUUAUUUUUCUCAGCUGAGAAUCUUUCUGUUUUGUUUCUCAUUUUAUUACACGUAUCUCUUUUAAAUUUUGUAGGUUAGAACUGUGAAAAAUGUUUUAAUAGAAAGUAGCUGAGUCUGUAACCCUGGUUAAUAAUCUCAACUGCAAGCUUACUGAGAGAUCAGGUUGUAUUUUAAUACUUAUGUGCUAAUAUUAAAUGUUUAGGUUUUGCAAAUGAAAUUUUUCUAACUAGCAUCAUAGUAAGUUAGCCAAAAUCCCAGAGAGUAUUAUGUUUCUGUUAUGAUUAAACACAUUUAUGUUACUACUUAACUACCUAUUCCAAAACAGAGCCUGUACAAAACCUGCAAAUUAUGGGUGAAAAAGUUAAACUGUAUUUGCUGUUUUAUAGCAUGUGGAAUAUGAUUGUUGACUUUAACA